UACGUAGGGUCCGAGCGUUGUCCGGAAUUAUUGGGCGUAAAGGGCUCGUAGGCGGUUUGUCGCGUCGGGAGUGAAAACGCCGGGCUUAACCCGGUGCUUGCUUUCGAUACGGGCAGACUGGAGGUAUGCAGGGGGGAGAACGGAAUUCCUGGUGUAGCGGUGAAAUGCGCAGAUAUCAGGAGGAACACCGGUGGCGAAGGCGGUUCUCUGGGCAUGACCUGACGCUGAGGAGCGAAAGUGUGGGGAGCGAACAGG
rnacentral:rRNA from 1 species